rnacentral:rRNA from 1 species
CCUACGGGUGGCAGCAGUGAGGAAUAUUGGUCAAUGGGCGUAAGCCUGAACCAGCCAAGUCGCGUGAGGGAUGAAGGUUCUAUGGAUCGUAAACCUCUUUUAUAAGGGAAUAAAAGGGGGCUCGUGAGCCCCGUAUUGUAUGUACCAUCAGAAAAAGGACCGGCUAAUUCCGUGCCAGCAGCCGCGGUAAUACGGAAGGUCCGGGCGUUAUCCGGAUUUAUUGGGUUUAAAGGGAGCGUAGGCCGGCUUUUAAGUCAGUUGUGAAAGUCCGCGGCUCAACCGUGGAAUUGCAGUUGAAACUGGAGGCCUUGAGUGCACACAGGGAUGCCGGAAUUCAUGGUGUAGCGGUGAAAUGCUUAGAUAUCAUGAAGAACUCCGAUCGCGAAGGCAAGUGUCCGGGGUGCAACUGACGCUGAGGCUCGAAAGUGCGGGUAUCAAACAGGAUUAGAUACCCUUGUAGUC